UACGUAGGGUGCGAGCGUUAAUCGGAAUUACUGGGCGUAAAGUGUGCGCAGGCGGCCGAGCAAGUCGAGUGUGAAAGCCCCGAGCUUAACUUGGGAACUGCGCUCGAAACUACUUGGCUAGAGUGUGGCAGAGGGAGGUGGAAUUCCACGUGUAGCGGUGAAAUGCGUAGAGAUGUGGAGGAACACCGAUGGCGAAGGCAGCCUCCUGGGCCGAUACUGACGCUGAGGCACGAAAGCGUGGGGAGCAAACAGG
rnacentral:rRNA from 1 species